rnacentral:rRNA from 1 species
GAUGGACGCUGGCGGCGUGCCUAAUACAUGCAAGUCGAGCGAACAGACGAGGAGCUUGCUCCUCUGACGUUAGCGGCGGACGGGUGAGUAACACGUGGAUAACCUACCUAUAAGACUGGGAUAACUUCGGGAGACCGGAGCUAAUACCGGAUAAUAUAUUGAACCGCAUGGUUCAAUAGUGAAAGACGGUUUUGCUGUCACUUAUAGAUGGAUCCGCGCCGCAUUAGCUAGUUGGUAAGGUAACGGCUUACCAAGGCAACGAUGCGUAGCCGACCUGAGAGGGUGAUCGGCCACACUGGAACUGAGACACGGUCCAGACUCCUACGGGAGGCAGCAGUAGGGAAUCUUCCGCAAUGGGCGAAAGCCUGACGGAGCAACGCCGCGUGAGUGAUGAAGGUCUUCGGAUCGUAAAACUCUGUUAUUAGGGAAGAACAAAUGUGUAAGUAACUAUGCACGUCUUGACGGUACCUAAUCAGAAAGCCACGGCUAACUACGUG